GCAGAGGUGUGACAUAAGCAAAGGCCCAGAGGUGAAAUUGACAAGAUGUAUUUAUAAGACCAGUUUGAGUGUUCCACCAGGGAAGUCAGAGGGACAACUGGCUUUGCAUCUUUGGCUUUGCAUCUUUUAUGGAUCAUCUUUCAAAAGGGGGGGCUGAAGAAAACAAGGUUGGCCAGGUAUGGUGGCUCACACCUGUAAUCCCAGCACUUUGGGAGGCCGAGGCUGGCAGAUCACCUGAGGUCAGGAGUUCAAGACCAGCCUAGCCAACAUGGUGAAACCCCAUCUCUACUAAAAAUACAAAUUUAGCCGGACAUGGUGGCAGACUCCUGUAAUCCCAGCUACUCAGGAGGCUGAGAGAGGAGAAUCACUUGAACCUGGGAGGCAGAGGUUGCAGUGAGCCAAGAUGAUGCCAUUGACACUCUAGCCUGGGCAACAAGAGCGAAAAUUCAUCUCAAAAAAAACAAAAAAGGAAAACAAGGGUGCCCUUAAUGUGACAAAAUUUUUGGAACACAAAAGCAUAGAGCACCAGACGUGUCAUUUGGUGUAGAAGCUCAGUUCAUGAGCCAGCUUCACAGUGGAAUUUCACACAUGAGAAGAUAGGUAAGGGCCAAAUUUUGGAAGCCCUGAAAUGCCAAGCAAUAGAGUUGGACUUUAUCCUGUAGGCAGUGGGGGACCUUUGAAGUUUUAAGCAGGGGGGUAAUGACAGCAAAAACGUUUUUGUAAAAUUAAUCUGGCAAUACCAGGUAGGUGGAUUGAAAGGGAAACGGCUACAUGUGUCUUUUCAUAGGCUUCUCCAUGUUGGAAAAAAUAUUUUUUUUUUCUAUGGAGAUCCUAUCUUUCUCAAUUAGGAUUAUAAAUCCUUGAGAAGAAAAACCAUGUCUUACAUUUCCUUGUAUCUCUAACAUUUCUGAGCAAUGGAGAAAGUAUCAAACCAUUGUUGAAGAUACCAGCUUUGGAUUCAGAGCUUUGUGUGUGACUCCCAGCCCCUUAAAGCAGCAGCCUGACCUCUCCAAGCCUCAGUGUGCCCACCUGUAAAAUGGCAACAGUAACACUCACUUCAUAAGAUUGUGGUGAGGAUUAAGUGAGAUGAGAUUUUUAUAUGCAAAGCCUUCGGGGAAACUGUGCAAUAACUGGUAACUAUAGUUUUAGCAAUCACUGUCACGGCCAAAAAAGUUAUUAAGACAAGUUAACUGGCAACGAUGUUGGUGUUUGCUUUUGACUCUUUUUGACACUGAGUGGACAAGCAUGAACCAAAUAUAACUUAGAAGCCAGUUAUUCUAAAGGCAAAGUUGGACCCUGGAAAAAUUCAAGUCCACUGAACCGAGUACAUACAGAACUGAGCGUGACAGGUGUUUGGAAGCCAAAAUAAGUCUUGAGCAAGUAAAAAGAGCUAGCUGGUUGGUACAGGCCAGCUGUAAUAUUAAGUAGUAUCUGUGCAAGGACUGGGCCACAUCCCCAAUCAUAAGAACAAAUGUCUGGCAGCAGCUCUUCCAAAGAAACCUUUCCAUUAAAUUUCUAUUAACCAAUAUUAUCGCAAUGUAACCUUACUUCACAGUGUGCCCUACCUGUGGUUUGAACAGGUAGACACCUCUAUGGCAUGGAUUAAAAUGCCCAAGCUCUUGGAGAAAUAACAGAUUCUUGUUCUUGGAUAGGAAAAGUACAAGAUGCCUCUGGAGCCGCUCAUUGUGCCAAAAGACAAGGGAGCCACCAAAGAGUAAUAGAACCGGGUCAAAAGGUGCCAAAACCAACCUGAAGAGACUUCCACUGGCAUAAACUGCCAUAAACUGAGCAGCCUAAUGUGUAACAACUGCAGUAGAUCGAAAGAUAUCAAACAUGUUUCCUAAAUCCAGGUAAUAAUACUAACAAAAGAAAGGAAAUACAAAUUCACUGCUCACCAAAAAAGAGUGCUAAGAAAACAGAGAAAUAAAAAAGGCUGGGUGCGGUGGCUCACACCUGUAAUCCCAGCACUUUGGGAGGCCGAGGUGGGCGGAUCACCUGAGGUCUGGAAUUUGAGACCAGCCUGACCAACGUGGAGAAAUCCCAUGUCUACCAAAAAUACAAAAUUAGUCAGGCCUGGUGGUGCGUGCCUGUAAUCCCAGCUACUCAGGAGGCUGAGGCAGGAGAAUCGCUUGAACCCAGGAGGCAGAGGUUGUGGUGAGCCGAAGUCAUACCAUUGCACCCCAGCUUGGGCAACAAGAGCAAAAUUCCAUCAAAAAAAAAAAAAAA
ensembl:lncRNA